rnacentral:rRNA from 1 species
ACACAUGCNAGUCGAGCGGUAGCACAGGGGAGCUUGCUCCCUGGGUGACGAGCGGCGGACGGGUGAGUAAUGUCUGGGAAACUGCCUGAUGGAGGGGGAUAACUACUGGAAACGGUAGCUAAUACCGCAUAACGUCGCAAGACCAAAGAGGGGGACCUUCGGGCCUCUUGCCAUCAGAUGUGCCCAGAUGGGAUUAGCUAGUAGGUGGGGUAAUGGCUCACCUAGGCGACGAUCCCUAGCUGGUCUGAGAGGAUGACCAGCCACACUGGAACUGAGACACGGUCCAGACUCCUACGGGAGGCAGCAGUGGGGAAUAUUGCACAAUGGGCGCAAGCCUGAUGCAGCCAUGCCGCGUGUGUGAAGAAGGCCUUCGGGUUGUAAAGCACUUUCAGCGAGGAGGAAGGUGGUGAGCUUAAUACGUUCAUCAAUUGACGUUACUCGCAGAAGAAGCACCGGCUAACUCCGUGCCAGCAGCCGCGGUAAUACGGAGGGUGCAAGCGUUAAUCGGAAUUACUGGGCGUAANGCGCACGCAGGCGGUUUGUUAAGUCAGAUGUGAAAUCCCCGGGCUCAACCUGGGAACUGCAUUUGAAACUGGCAAGCUAGAGUCUCGUAGAGGGGGGUAGAAUUCCAGGUGUAGCGGUGAAAUGCGUAGAGAUCUGGAGGAAUACCGGUGGCGAAGGCGGCCCCCUGGACGAAGACUGACGCUCAGGUGCGAAAGCGUGGGGAGCAAACAGGAUUAGAUACCCUGGUAGUCCACGCUGUAAACGAUGUCGAUUUGGAGGUUGUGCCCUUGAGGCGUGGCUUCCGGAGCUAACGCGUUAAAUCGACCGCCUGGGGAGUACGGCCGCAAGGUUAAAACUCAAAUGAAUUGACGGGGGCCCGCACAAGCGGUGGAGCAUGUGGUUUAAUUCGAUGCAACGCGAAGAACCUUACCUACUCUUGACAUCCAGAGAACUUACCAGAGAUGCDUUGGUGCYUUCGGGAACUCUGAGACAGGUGCUGCAUGGCUGUCGUCAGCUCGUGUUGUGAAAUGUUGGGUUAAGUCCCGCAACGAGCGCAACCCUUAUCCUUUGUUGCCAGCGGUUCGGCCGGGAACUCAAAGGAGACUGCCAGUGAUAAACUGGAGGAAGGUGGGGAUGACGUCAAGUCAUCAUGGCCCNUUACGAGUAGGGCUACACACGUGCUACAAUGGCAUAUACAAAGAGAAGCGACCUCGCGAGAGCAAGCGGACCUCAUAAAGUAUGUCGUAGUCCGGAUUGGAGUCUGCAACUCGACUCCAUGAAGUCGGAAUCGCUAGUAAUCGUAGAUCAGAAUGCUACGGUGAAUA